GACGCGAGGUUUUAGCCGCCCGUACCCCAAACCGACCAGGUGGUCAGGUAGAGAAUACUAAGGAGAUCGAGAUAAUCAUGGUUAAGGAACUCGGCAAAAUGCCCCCGUAACUUCGGGAGAAGGGGGGCCAUCCGCCUAUUAGGAUUUACUCCGAAAGGGUGUGAUGGCCGCAGAGACCAGUGGGAAGCGACUGUUUACUAAAAACACGGGUCCGUGCGAAGUCGCAAGACGAUGUAUACGGACUGACGCCUGCCCGGUGCUGGAAGGUUAAGAGGAGGGGUUAGCGCAAGCGAAGCUCUGAAUUUAAGCCCCAGUAAACGGCGGUGGUAACAAUAACCAUCCUAAGGUAGCGAAAUUCCUUGUCGGGUAAGUUCCGACCUGCACGAAUGGCGUAACGACUUCCCAGCUGUCUCAACCAUGAACUCGGCGAAAUUGCAUUACGAGUAAAGAUGCUCGUUACGCGCAGCAGGACGGAAAGACCCCGUGACCUUUACUACAGUUUGGUAUUGGUAUUCGGUGUGACUUGUGUAGGAUAGGUGGGAGACUGUGAAGCUUGGACGCUAGUUCAGGUGGAGUCGUUGUUGAAAUACCACUCUGGUCAUUCUGGAUAUCUAACUACGGACCCUAAUCGGGUUCUGGGACAGUGCCUGAUGGGUAGUUUAACUGGGGCGGUUGCCUCCUAAAGAGUAACGGAGGCGCCCAAAGGUUCCCUCAACCUGGUUGGCAAUCAGGUGGCGAGUGUAAGUGCACAAGGGAGCUUGACUGUGAGACUGACAGGUCGAGCAGGGACGAAAGUCGGGACUAGUGAUCCGGCAGUGGCUUGUGGAAGCGCUGUCGCUCAACGGAUAAAAGGUACCUCGGGGAUAACAGGCUGAUCUUGCCCAAGAGUCCAUAUCGACGGCAUGGUUUGGCACCUCGAUGUCGGCUCGUCGCAUCCUGGGGCUGGAGUAGGUCCCAAGGGUUGGGCCGUUCGCCCAUUAAAGCGGUACGCGAGCUGGGUUUAGAACGUCGUGAGACAGUUCGGUCCCUAUCCGCUGCGUGCGUCGGAAAUUUGAGAGGAUCUGACCCUAGUACGAGAGGACCGGGUUGGACGAACCUCUGGUGUGUCAGUUGUUCUGCCAAGGGCAUCGCUGAUUAGCUACGUUCGGAAUGGAUAACCGCUGAAAGCAUCUAAGCGGGAAGCCGGCCUCAAGAUGAGAUUUCCAUCCGGGUUUAGCCCGGGAGAGGCUCCCAGUAGACUACUGGGUUGAUAGGCCGGAUGUGGAAGCACGGUAACGUGUGGAGCUGACCGGUACUAAUAAGCC
rnacentral:rRNA from 1 species